rnacentral:rRNA from 1 species
GAUGAACGCUGGCGGCGUGCCUAAUACAUGCAAGUCGAGCGAACAGACGAGGAGCUUGCUCCUCUGACGUUAGCGGCGGACGGGUGAGUAACACGUGGAUAACCUACCUAUAAGACUGGGAUAACUUCGGGAAACCGGAGCUAAUACCGGAUAAUAUAUUGAACCGCAUGGUUCAAUAGUGAAAGACGGUUUUGCUGUCACUUAUAGAUGGAUCCGCGCCGCAUUAGCUAGUUGGUAAGGUAACGGCUUACCAAGGCAACGAUGCGUAGCCGACCUGAGAGGGGGGGCGGCCACACUGGAACUGAGACACGGUCCAGACUCCUACGGGAGGCAGCAGUAGGGAAUCUUCCGCAAUGGGCGAAAGCCUGACGGAGCAACGCCGCGUGAGUGAUGAAGGUCUUCGGAUCGUAAAACUCUGUUAUUAGGGAAGAACAAAUGUGUAAGUAACUAUGCACGUCUUGACGGUACCUAAUCAGAAAGCCACGGCUAACUACGUG